AUUCUGACCAUAUUAGGUUCCUGUCAAUAUUCUUCGAUAGUUAUACUUCGAUAAUAGGAUAAAAGGUAGAUCUCCUGGCACAGCUUACCAGAAUCUUAAUGAUCAACUGAUAUCUACCAGUUGGUCUAUCAAGCUUCAUCUUCUGUAAUUCUCUGACUUGAACUUUUAGCUAAAACAAUUCUGAAAAAAAAUCUGCAUUUCCACAAACCCACUAGGCUCUAAUGUAUAUAUCUUGGUAAAUGUAUCCUUUCUCCUGGAAGUUCUCUUUCCA
rnacentral:lncRNA from 1 species